UAGAAAGGAUGCCAUUUUCUCGGUGCCACCAAAAACUGGAUUCAAGUGAAUAAUGAUUCCAAGUCGGAUAGAGAACAAUCAGCUAAGUCUUUGUCAGAGAAGAACAGAGGUUAUCUAUGAAGUCAGCUUUAUUUAAUGUUUACGAACACUGAAUGCAGGCUUUCAUCAGUCAAGUAAAAUGUUAAGGUUUAUUUUCCCAAAUCUGAUUCCCUGAAGCAAGGUGGUUUCCAAUAAAUUUGCACAGAAAAUAGCAGUACCAACAACAGCAAUGGGGAAGAAAAUUGGAAAGAUGCUCUAUUAGUUUACAAGUGCUGCCAAAGUACCACAAAAUGAAUGUCUUGGAAUAAGAGAAAUUUAUUCUCUCACAGCAUUGGAAGCUUGAAGUCUGAAAUUAAGGAUCCAGAAGUGCCAUGCUAACCUCUGAAGUACAUGGUAGAAUUCUUCCUUGCCUUUUUCUAGCAUCUGGCGGGGCCACCAGUCCUCAGCCUUAUUUGGCUCAGAGUUUCCUCACUCCAGUGUUGCACUCCUGUGUAUCUAUGUCUCUCCUCUUCUCCUGAGGACACCUAUUGUA